rnacentral:rRNA from 1 species
AUUGAACGCUGGCGGCAGGCUUAACACAUGCAAGUCGAGCGGAGAGAGGUAGCUUGCUACUGAUCUUAGCGGCGGACGGGUGAGUAAUGCUUAGGAAUCUGCCUAUUAGUGGGGGACAACAUUUCGAAAGGAAUGCUAAUACCGCAUACGUCCUACGAGAGAAAGCAGGGGAUCUUCGGACCUUGCGCUAAUAGAUGAGCCUAAGUCGGAUUAGCUAGUUGGUGGGGUAAAGGCCUACCAAGGCGACGAUCUGUAGCGGGUCUGAGAGGAUGAUCCGCCACACUGGGACUGAGACACGGCCCAGACUCCUACGGGAGGCAGCAGUGGGGAAUAUUGGACAAUGGGCGGAAGCCUGAUCCAGCCAUGCCGCGUGUGUGAAGAAGGCCUUAUGGUUGUAAGGCACUUUAAGCGAGGAGGAGGCUACUUUAGUUAAUACCUAGAGAUAGUGGACGUUACUCGCAGAAUAAGCACCGGCUAACUCUGUGCCAGCAGCCGCGGUAAUAC